rnacentral:rRNA from 1 species
UGGGGAAUAUUGCACAAUGGGCGCAAGCCUGAUGCAGCCAUGCCGCGUGUGUGAAGAAGGCCUUCGGGUUGUAAAGCACUUUCAGCGAGGAGGAAGGUGGUGAGCUUAAUACGCUCAUCAAUUGACGUUACUCGCAGAAGAAGCACCGGCUAACUCCGUGCCAGCAGCCGCGGUAAUACGGAGGGUGCAAGCGUUAAUCGGAAUUACUGGGCGUAAAGCGCACGCAGGCGGUUUGUUAAGUCAGAUGUGAAAUCCCCGGGCUCAACCUGGGAACUGCAUUUGAAACUGGCAAGCUAGAGUCUCGUAGAGGGGGGUAGAAUUCCAGGUGUAGCGGUGAAAUGCGUAGAGAUCUGGAGGAAUACCGGUGGCGAAGGCGGCCCCCCUGGACGAAGACUGACGCUCAGGUGCGAAAGCGUGGGGCAGCAAACAGGAUUAGAUACCCUGGUAGUCCACGCUGUAAACGAUGUCGAUUUUGGAGGUUGUGCCCCUUGAGGCGUGGCUUCCGGAGCUAACGCGUUAAAUCGACCGCCUGGGGAGUACGGCCGCAAGGUUAAAACUCAAAGGAAUUGACGGGGUCAUAGCUGUUUCCU